GACGAACGCUGGCGGCGUGCUUAACACAUGCAAGUCGAACGGACAGGCCCUGCGUUUGUGGGUUUCUCGAGUGGCGAACGGGUGAGUGACACGUGAGUAACCUGCCCUUAACUUUGUGGUAACUUCAGGAGACUGGGGCUAAUACCGGGUAUGAUCUCCUGCUGCGUAUUGUUGAUUGGUAAGAGUCGGCGGUUGGGGAUCGACUGGAGGGUUAUGAGCUUGUUUGUGUAGUAGUGGAUUACCAAGGUUUUGAAGGGUAGCCGGCCUGAGAGGGUGACCGGCGACAUUGGGACUAAGAGAGGGAGCAGACGCGUACGGGAGGCAGCAGUGGGGAGUAUUGCACAAUGGGCGCACGCCUGAUGUAGCAACGUUGCGUGCGGGAUGCUGGCUUUCGGGUGGUAAACCGAUUUCGAAGUAGAUGAAGAGGGAGUGACGGUAACGGGUAAAGAAGCAACGGCUAACUACGUG
rnacentral:rRNA from 1 species